rnacentral:rRNA from 1 species
AUGUGCUUCUAUUUGCGCAGACACUACAUCCACUCCAUGUUUCUAGUCUGGGCUGUUUUGUUGCACAUUUUUUGUAAAACUAAUCCCUUGUAUCUAUUUGCACACAUCCAGGCAGAAGUUGGUUUUGCUACUGGGUCUAGUUGCACAGAGUGGUGUUUAUUUACACAGACAUCAGAUUACUAUUGCUAUUCCCUCCAAUUAUGGAGAAGACCGGUGGAAGAUCCAGAGGCAAAGGGGAAGGGAAAGUACAGAAGGGAGGACCUGGAGCCAGAAGUGAACUUACCUUGGUUGAUGCUGCCUGGUAUGCUUCUUCUCCUCCCUCCUGUUGCCACUUUAGUUCUUGUCAAAAAAAUACCCUUGUUUGGUUUGCCAUGGCAGCUCUGUAGGUUUUUGGAUCCAGGAUGGGAUCCCCUUUCUUUCAUGGAGAAGAAGGAGACGCCUUGGAGGAGGAAGUGUAGAUGA